AUUGAACGCUGGCGGCAUGCUUUACACAUGCAAGUCGAACGGUAACAGGUCUUCGGAUGCUGACGAGUGGCGAACGGGUGAGUAAUGUAUCGGAACGUGCCCAGUAGUGGGGGAUAACUACUCGAAAGAGUGGCUAAUACCGCAUGAGAACUGAGGUUGAAAGCGGGGGACCUUCGGGCCUCGCGCUACUGGAGCGGCCGAUAUCAGAUUAGGUAGUUGGUGGGGUAAAGGCCUACCAAGCCGACGAUCUGUAGCUGGUCUGAGAGGACGACCAGCCACACUGGGACUGAGACACGGCCCAGACUCCUACGGGAGGCAGCAGUGGGGAAUUUUGGACAAUGGACGCAAGUCUGAUCCAGCAAUGCCGCGUGCAGGACGAAGGCCUUCGGGUUGUAACUGCUUUGUACAGAACGAAGGGGACGUCUGGUUAAUACCUGGGGCAGAUGACGGUACUGUAAGAAUAAGCACCGGCUAACUACGUGCCAGCAGCCGCGGU
rnacentral:rRNA from 1 species